GAAGAACUGGCCGAGCGGCAAGGCACCUUCAUUGCUAAAAAGGCAUGACCUUCGGGGCUGGCGAGUUCGACUCUCGCGCUCUCCGCCA
rnacentral:tRNA from 1 species